rnacentral:rRNA from 1 species
CUACGGGUUGCUCCAGUGGGGAAUAUUGGACAAUGGGCGCAAGCCUGAUCCAGCAAUGCCGCGUGUGUGAAGAAGGCCUGAGGGUUGUAAAGCACUUUCAAUUGGGAGGAAUAUGCGCAGGUUAAUAGCCUGUGUUUUGACAUUACCUUUAGAAGAAGCACCGGCUAACUCCGUGCCAGCAGCCGCGGUAAUACGGAGGGUGCGAGCGUUAAUCGGAAUUACUGGGCGUAAAGCGUACGUAGGCGGUUAUUUAAGUCAGAUGUGAAAGCCCCGGGCUUAACCUGGGAACUGCAUUUGAUACUGGAUGACUGGAGUUUAAUAGAGGAGAGUGGAAUUUCAGGUGUAGCGGUGAAAUGCGUAGAUAUCUGAAGGAACACCAGUGGCGAAGGCGACUCUCUGGAUUAAAACUGACGCUGAGGUACGAAAGCGUGGGUAGCAAACAGGAUUAGAUACCCGAGUAGUC